UAGGAACACUACAAACAGAUGGAGAACAU
rnacentral:piRNA from 1 species